rnacentral:rRNA from 1 species
GCGUAGGACGAACGCUGGCGGCGUGCCUAAUACAUGCAAGUCGAACGGCUUUUCUAUGGAAGCUUGCUUCCACUGAGAAGAUAGUGGCGAACGGGUGAGUAACACGUGGGUAACCUGCCCAUAAGAGGGGGGAUAACAUCCGGAAACGGGUGCUAAUACCGCAUAGUUUUCUUGAUCGCAUGAUCGGGAAAGGAAAGACGGCCUUUGUGCUGUCGCUUAUGGAUGGACCCGCGGCGUAUUAGUUAGUUGGUGAGGUAACGGCUCACCAAGACGAUGAUACGUAGCCGACCUGAGAGGGUGAUCGGCCACAUUGGGACUGAGACACGGCCCAAACUCCUACGGGAGGCAGCAGUAGGGAAUCUUCCGCAAUGGACGAAAGUCUGACGGAGCAACGCCGCGUGAGUGAAAGAAGGUUUUCGGAUCGUAAAACUCUGUUGUCAGAGAAGAACAAGUUGGAGAGUAACUGCUCCAGCCUUGACGGUAUCUGACCAGAAAGCCACGGCUAACUACGUGCCAGCCGCCGC